GCGGGAGACGGAGGGCGGAGCGGCCGGGGCCCGGCGGCCGCCGAUCCCACCCUAGCGCCCGGCUGGGCUGCGGUGCCUACGGCCCGGGGCUGUGCUGGCCGCUCUUCGCUGCGGCGCCUGAGGACCUCGAUCCCGUACUGGGUGUUCAGGGACCCACCUCUGGGAGAGGCGCCCCGCUCCCGGGGCAGACCUCCUUGGCUUGCAGGAGACCCUCACUUGGCUUCCCCACCCCCACCUCAGAGCGUCUGCCUAUGGGACUCGGUCUCAGAGGCUGUUUCUUCUAUGACCCCCCUCUGUUCCCUCCAGGCCACCUUCCACUUUGCACACUGCCCCCAGACCCCCCACCCCGUUUCAGGGAUAUAGCCCCUUUCGAGAGAGCCCACCCAUUUCCUAUCACAGCCCACAGAAAAGCUUGUGAGGACCACACCCCCAUUCUAAUGACAAGUGUCCCCGGGGGUACUGCAUAUACACCCCCCCCCAACCCCCACCACACACCGUUUCAAGUCUGGUCACCCUGUAUUACAAGAUCAAGUUUAAACUUAGAAAGGCAAGUUUGGGGGGGUGGUGGCUUAUGACUCCCGCCUCUCACCCACCGUUCCCAGACCCUGGUGACAUGCCAGAGGAAUGAGAAGGGGAAUGGGCCGCAGGCUACGGCCAUCUCUGAACGUGUCCUGGCUGGCAAGGUCCCCCACCCCCAGCAUCAGAGCUGCUGGAAACCCCACAGGUAAAGAGGACAGGACACCCAGAACAGAGUUUUAACUGUCCUCGUGUUAUUGGAGCCCAGAGGCCAUUCUUUUCAGCCCACACUUGGUCUGCUGUUAGGACAGAGGAAAGGAAAGACUCUCCUGGAAGUGGAUUUUAAACCCAAGGGGGUUGAUUCAAGGCUUCUAGGAAUGCCCAGUGAAUCCCAGCGUGAAGGAGCCCCUGUCUUCCCCUCCCCGGAGGGCCCCUCAGCUGAGGAGGUGUGUGUGGGAUAAAGUCCCUUCUCUGUAGGAGCCUUGUCUUCACUCUCUGGACUGUGGGUGGCUUGUAUGACCGCUGGUGCCAUCCGUGUCCCUGGCUCUGAGGAGCAGAUUCACUAGAUAAGACUGAGGGACCUCUCAGGCAACACAGGGUACCAAGUUAAGACUGGUCAUUUUUAAAACUGGCUACAGUUUCCUUGUGGGAUCAGGGAGCUGGUGUAACAUCCUGGAGGCUGGGAUGGUGUUGGGUCCUGCUUGGUUCACGGAGUGGGCUGUCUGCCAGGCAUAGCUAUGCUUUUGGGUCAGGCUUGGCACGUCCGUUCCCGAUGCACUCAAGGUUGGCGUAGCUUCCAGGCAGGUAUUUUUAAUUUUUAUUCUUCCACAUAAAAAUACCUGAGCUUUCGAAAGGAGGCCGGGGUGAUGAGCUUUUGAGUAGGUAUCUGAAUGUGUAAGGGGUUCCCCCGGUGGGGACGAGGGGAAUCUAGUCACAGCACCUCACAGGCUGGUUGAGGGCCCUGUUGCUUCUGGACAGUCCCCGUGCUGUUUGAAGGACUGAGGAAGUCUUUGUAGUGUCCGCAGAGCUCGGAAUUCCCGGCUUCUGACUGUCUUCCAUUUAGGGCCAGCACACUGAGUUGUCUUUGAAAGGAAAGAGUGCUUUCUGGCAGACGGGGACCGUAGGGAUUGAAAUGGGCUGUCUGUGGAGUUCUUACCCAUGCCUGGAUUUGUCCUGUCCUUUCUGUAAGAUCACCCUGAGGCCAUGGCCACCAACACUACCUCUAUUUAACAAGAGACCAAGAGAGGCUGAGUCUCUGACCCAAGGUUGCACAGCCCAGAAACGAAUGAAGUCUGUGCCUAGAAGCUGGUCCCUGGGCAGCUCCUGUAUACAUUCCUUCCGGGGAAGGGGGUGAGCUGGUGCUGGCAGGAGGGGUGGCAAGGGGUGGUGGCUGCCACCUGUGACUUCUGCUGCCUUCUCUAGACUCUCCAGUUGCUCCAUCCGAGCUACACUGCCUCCUUAGUCUGGGCUCUCAGGGGGCCGUUCCGCCUGGCUGACCAGAGCCCAGGGCGGGGUGGGGGUAAGGAUGGAUGUGCAGGACUGGAGAGGAAUUUGCUUCUCAGCCCAGGCGGUCAGCUGUCUGCAUGGCUGCUCAGCACACUGCCCGUCAGCUGUUUUCCUAAGUUAGGAUGGCUUAUGACGGGCCAGCCCUCUUGUUUUUAUUUGUGUCCCAAGAGAGAUCUCAGCAGCGUGCACCUCCCCGUCACUUAACAUGGGGCAGUCGUUUAAGGUGAUCUCCUUGUGGCAAGGCCAUGCGUGGGGUGCAUACCUAGCCUCCAUGAUAACGGUGGGGUUUUUUGGGGGAGGGCUUGAGAGUAAAAAUAAUAAAUCAAUUUAAAAAGAUUAAUUGGAGGACUCUUCCCCUCCUCACAGUGGCCAGUGAGAGUCACCAUGUGCUGUUUAAUAAGUUACAAAUUUAUAGCUCAUUGGUCAGAAAAAACAAAACAAAACAUAAACACAGCGUGUUCUGCCUUCCUCCGCGUGUUCCCUGCGUUUUUUUGUGUGCUGUUGGGCGGCUGCUUGGUGGCUUUUCUCAUUAGACGCUUAGACGCUGGUUUGGCCCAGAGCUCCUUCUGUUCAAGUUCUGGCCGGGGUUUCCUGGACAGAGUUCUCACAACACAGAUCACUCUCAUUAUGCUUUCUGCCCUGGCUCUCCUCUCUCCCUCUCUCUCCACGUUCAUGUUGUUCAUGUCGGUAAUGUAUUUGGGGCGGCCGUAACCACAGUGUGGCCUGCCUGUCAGGAAUCCCUCUUCCUCUGCUGGAGACAGGCCCCGUGCUCAGCACUUUCUCUCUCUCUCUCUCAAGAAGCCUGAGCUUAGACGUUCUGGCAGAGCUGGCUGGGGUUUGAACCUAGAUCGAUCCAAUUCUGGAUCUGGUCGUCUUAAUCGGAAAGCAUUAGGACCUAGUACUAAUCAGGGAGCGGACCCCAAGAGAGGCCUGCGGAGUAACUGGUAGUUACCUCUAAAGUUUCUGCUCUACCAGGCCAGGAGGUCCCCCAGGAAAUGGCUUGAUAGCAUUGCCCGCUCCUCCAUAGCGGGGGACACAGCCAGCUGUUGGCAGUGGCCAGGCUGCUGGAAUCUGGACAUGUCUCCUUUCAGCUUCUCAGCGGGCUUGACCCGUUGGAAAACAGUGCCUCAUUGUGUUUGGGGGUGAUGCUAUGAGGGUGGGUGUGGGGGUUAAGGGAGUUGCCUGGGGCAUUCCGGGCUACAGAGCUGCCUAGUCUCCAUAGGAAAGCUGGCCUUAGGGCUCGCCUGUAUGUGGUAUCUCUGUGUGUUAGGCCUGGUUCAGAGCAGAGGCUGGACCUGUGACAGAGGCGGUAUCCAGGGGUCGGGCAGCGAGGCCCUCCCUCCCAGUGGGUGUUGUGUGAGGUGCCUGCUGGUAAGGGUGCCCAGCUUGGAUUUGAACCCUGGGUGGAUUGUGUUUGAUUGUUAGGCAGAUCUUUUCUGAUCAGGACAGAAAGCUGUGGGCUUUGGGCCGGGUGAUAUCUUUCUGAUGGGGGACAUUGCAUGUUCCUUCUUUUUGCUUUCUUCAGGGGUGGCCGUGUGUUGCAGAAGCCGGGCCCAGUCAUUGGCUGGAGGGGUCUGACAAAGGCCAACAGUUGCUGUUGGGGCCCUGCAGGGCCACUUCCCUACAUACUAAUCUCCUGUGGAGCUUCUUGUGGCCUUUACCUUGUUUCAAGACCAGAGAUGUUGAGGAACUUCUUCCAGGGCUCACUUAGCCUUUUACUGAGCUUGUACUGGGCUCAGGGCCUUCAAGAAUAAAAAUAACAUCUAUGCAGUCCAUUUUUAAAAAUCGUUUUUUUAAAGUCAAGGUCUCUCUUUGCAACUGUGGCUGUCCUGGAACUUGCUAUGUAGACCAGGCUAUCCUCAAACUUGCAGAGAUCACCUCAGCCUCCCAAGUAUGGGAUUAAAAAUGAGUGCCACUGCAUCUCAUGUAUGGAAUACUUUAAAAACCAUGUGCUCACCAGGCAGUGGUGGCACAUGUCUUUAAUCCCAGCACUUGGGAGGCAGAGGCAGGCGGAUUUCUGAGUUUGAGGCCAGUCUGCUCUACAGAGUGAGUUCCAGGAAAGCCAGGGCUACACAGAGAAACCCUGUCUCAAAAAACAAACAAAAACAAAAAUGUGCACAACUCUAUGACUUUGCAGAACACUUUUUGGAACAACAUGUGCAGAGCUCUUUUUUGAGACAUAUCUUUUGUACUUACAUGCAAGCACGGCUGGGCAUCUCGCACCCAGUGUUGUUUCUGCCUACUUAGCUCAUAUGGAGCAAGCUCUCUUGUUCUUAGUAGUUACUGCUGCCUGCUUCUGAAGGAGGACACUGAAGCUGGGAGUGAGCCCACUCGCCCAGAUUCUACAGCCAGUGAGGGGCAGGAACGGGAACCGAAUCCAGGGUCACUGACUGCAGAGUAGAAAUCAUGUUGAUCCAUCGAUUGAUCUACCUAUAUAUCUAUGUAUCGAUGUAUGUAUCUAUCAAUCUACAUCUAUGUAUAUAUGUAUCUAUCAAUCAUCUAUGUAUCUAUCAAGAAAUUUUGUUGGUUGAUUGGUCUAUGUAUCUAUCAUCUAUCUACCUAUCAUCUAUCUAUCUAUCUAUCUAUCUAUCUAUCUAUCUAUCUAUCUAUGUAUAUCUAUCAUCUGUCUGUCUGUCUGUCUGUCUGUCUGUCUGUCUAUCUAUCUGUUUUGAGAAAGGGUCUGUCUGUCUACCUAGCCCUGGUUGGUCUGGAACUCCCAGUGAUCCACCUUUCCCCGCCUCCCAGUGCUGGGACUAAAGUCGCGAGCCACCACAUAUGGCUUUCUUUUCACUUUGUAUUUUAGGCAGGGCCUCAUCCUUUUGUCCAGGCUUCCCAUCAACCCAUUCUUCAGCCCAAACUGGUGUUGAACGUGUAAACCUGCCUCAGCUUCUCGAUUAGCUGGGAUUAUAGGUCUGUGUCCUCAGGCCUGGCUUCAGAAAUCUUUUCUGUUCAUCUCUUUGAGUCCUCAUCUGUCCAGCCCCCACUCCCCUUCCCUCUGUCCUUGCGUGCUCAGGAGGAGCUGAACGACACCGGUGGCUAUGGCUGUUGAUAGACAGAGGGCUCCAUUCAGCUCUUAACAGCCACUGGCCCAGUCACCUGUACCCUUGACACAGAGCUGUGGGCAGAGAGUCCAGCUGCUAGAAGUUAGUGUCUCCAGGGCAGCCGCUUUUCUUUCCGUCUUGUAGGUUCUGCCCUACCCUGCAUGGACGCGGUCUUUGUCUUCAUUCCAGUAUACAUACUCUCUGUCACUUGAGACAUCCGUCUCUAGUGGGGUAGCUGUUAAAAAUGUCAUGGUGGGCCUCAUGUGGUGACAUAAGCCUCUAGCCAUAGCAUUCAGGAGACAGAGGCAGGCAGGCAGAUCUCUGUGAGUUCUGAGUUCCAGGCCAGCUGGGGUCUCCGUAGUGAGACUGCAGUCUCCAAAAGAAAAUGAAAAUGUUGAGCAAAGGAAGAGAACGAGGUGGGGGGUGGGGAAUGGGUGGUGUCUGUGGGGAUGGGAGAAGUUGGGGGUCUGAGUGGGGAGAAUUACAAAGCUGAGAAAUGUUGGUUAAACAUUGGAAGGGAAGGUCAAGGUGGGUCUCUUCCCCAAGGAUAAGCCUUUCUCUACUUUCAUGGCUGGUCUCAGUGUGGUUCAUAUCCCGAUUAGUUUCCAGCCGCCUGAUUGCCUAACCAGUGGGGCUUAGCACUGGCUUCCCUAGGGAGGCUCCGGACAUUGGGCCAGCAGCAGGCAGAUGUGCCAUCGGGAAGGCCUACCACAGCCCCAAGUGGCCAAAUCUUCCCUCGAAGAUAGCCUUUAAUGCUUAUUUCUGGUGUGAUUGUGGUAUUGUGGUUUGUGGGAUCAUCUUUCUUAGGGGCACGGGAAAGCAGGAGUGUCACGAAGCCUAUACUUUUUAUUUCUUUGUUCAUUCGUUUAUUUCCUAGAACUCACUCUGUAGACCAGGCUGGCCUUGGAACUCAGAGAUCUGCCUGCCUCUGCCUCUGAGCACUGGGAUUCGAAGGGUAUACAACCACACCCAGCCCUGCAACUUAGUUUUAAAUGAUAUAUUAAAAGAAAAAAAAAUCAAAAUCCAACCCCCAAAGUCUCACGCAUCCCUCGGGAAUCUCUAGGGGAUUGGUUGGUUCGGUGCGUCCCGCCCCCCUCAUACUCAGGUCCCUAUAAACAGACCUUCCUGCACGCUUUUUCUAAAAGUACAUUUGUUAGCAUGUAUUUACUUUAUGUGUAUGUCUAUGUAUGAUGUACACCCUAGAAGUGAGUUGCAGGGCGCUGUGAACUGACAUGUGGGGACUUGGAAUUGAACCUGGAUCUUCUGUAGGGAUGGCCAGUGCUCCUAACCCAUGAGUCACUCCUUCAGCUCCCGAUGUUUUUUUUUUUAAAGACAGUUUCUUGUAGUCCAGGGUUAGCGUCGCACUUACAAAGUAGCAGAUGAGACAAUGACCUUGAGCUUCUGAUCCUCCAGCCUUCGCUUCCGCCUCCCAAGUCCCCGGAUCAUAAGCGUGUCCCCACUCAGUAUAUGCAGUGAUGGAGACCAAACCUGGAACUCGGUACGGUUAGGCAAGCGUUCUGCCAACUGAGCUGUGCUCCCCAGCCCUUCCCGUAGACUUUGGAAUUGAAACUAUCCCAGGCUGGGGAGAUGGCUCAGUGGGUAAAGUGUUUGCUUUUUGAGCGUAAGGACCCCAGUUUGGAUUCUCAGCCACCCAUGUACAAAGAGUGUGGAGGCAUGCACGGGAUGCAGAGACAGGCCUGUGCUCCGAACUCGUGAGCCAACCGGUUUAAGCGCUCCAGAUCUACUGAAGAGAUUCUCAAAAAGUAAGGUGGAGGCUGGCUGGCUGGCUGGCUGGCUUAGUGGGUAAAGGAACUUGCUGCCAAGCCCUACAGGCUGAAUUCGAUCUCAGGUCCUACAAGGUACAAGGAGAGAAUCCACUCUCACAAAUACGUCCUCUGAACUCCACAGACGUGCGGUGGCGUAAGUCUCAGUGUUCCACCCACCAGUGCACGUCUCCAUUACUUAUAGUUCCUGAUUGACGUUGCUGCUGGUAAUGACGGCGGUACUGCGUUGUUUAGGGAGGAAGAACUAGAAGGGAUCCUGUGCUCACAGUUAGCUGAUGCAGCGUUUUCCAUAUUUCCCUGUCCUCUGUUGUUGAAUCUGCAGAUGCGGCACCCAUAGGUGCAGGGAGCCGAUUAUACAUGGAUUUGUACCUGAACUAUGCGGAUAGGUGCGCACGUAGAAAGCGUGUCCCAUACAUUUACAUGGGGUGGCCGAGUAUUCACAUCUGAGUCUUAAGAGGAAGGUACGCGUGUCUGUGGCAGGGUUUUCUCCGAGUUUCUCCGAGUGUUUAGGCACAAAUAAGGGGUAUUGGAGAAGAGUUCAAAGGCACCUUUUCCAUGGGGACUCAGAGGAGUUGUUGAGCAGGGGUAGGGUGGGGGUGCUGGCUUGUGUCUGCCCGUGUUGGCCUUCUGGGGCUGUAGGUGGUGGGAAGAGAACCAGGUAGGAGGUCUGCUGUCAUCUGGGGCAGUAGAUCACAGCACUGUGACUUAUACUGAAAACAAAACCAAACAACCAGACCAAACCACCACCACCACCAACAAAUCGGGAUCUGGGAGACAGGCCACUUCUAUAGGGGCAGAGUCCGCCGCGUCAGCUUGUGUUAGUUAUUUUGGCUGACCUGACAUCAAUCAGGAGUCAGGACAAGAGAGAUGUUGAUCUCUGGUUGGAGUUAAAGGGUUGUCUCGGCCAGUGGUUACAGAGCAAGAGUAGAUGUCUUCAGGCAGUGUGAGCCCAGGGAGGGCAGGUGUGGGUGUGGGCAUUAGCCCGUGAUUGGCCAACAUCUUUAGCCUGUGGGCACAGGGCCCUAGCUUUUAUUUGCAGCUCAGUCUGGCCCCUGUGGUUUCCAGUGUUCUCAGCUCUCCUGGAAUCUCCAUUCCCCAGGUCCCACUCGUGUAGUGGGCUGAGUCAGUUGGGCCCCUUGGGCCUCUAGCUUUUUGGCUGGUGACAGUGGUAGUGUGGAUGGCUAGAGUCUAGCACUAGUGGCCCCGUUGUUGGCUCAGAGGCAGAGCUGAGGCCCUUGUCCCUCCCCAGAACCUACUGAGCUGGCCAACAGGCCCUCUGGAAGUCAGUGCUUCGUCGAGGAGGUGGGGUGGGACUGGGUCUUUGUCCAUCAGCCUGACCGCUUGGGAGGGACUCGUGGAGGCUUCCUAACCAGGCCUGGAUGUGGUGCACCGGGGCCCUUAUACUGCCGAUCUCAAGAGUAGCCUGGUGUGUGUUUUAUGGGGGAGGGGACGGGGCCUGGAGGAAGCUUUAUGUAAUCCUUGGCUCCAGCUCAGGUAAUUGUUUUAAUGAAAUGGAAUGCAGCUUAUUCAGAACUUGCUUGGCAGAAACAGCCGUGUUCUGGUGUGUUUUCUUGCUGAGGAGCUCGGGGUUUAUAUUCCCAGCUGUUUCGAAUCAUAGACAAGGCCAGAAGAAGCGGUCAGAUCCCUUGGAACUGGAGUAUAGGCCCCUGCGAUCCACUUGAUGCAGUUGCUGGGAAUUGAACCUGCGUGCUUUGGAAGAACAGCCAGUGCUUGAGCAACUGCGGAGCCUUCGACGGGCCCCUUCUCAAUGAAGUGCCUUUAGAUUUAAUUUUAAAAUUACACUUGUUUAUUUACUUACACUUACCCAUAAAUUACAUACAUUUA